rnacentral:rRNA from 1 species
UACGUAGGGGGCUAGCGUUGUCCGGAAUCAUUGGGCGUAAAGCGCGUGUAGGCGGCCCGGUAAGUCCGCUGUGAAAGUCGGGGGCUCAACCCUCGGAUGCCGGUGGAUACUGUCGGGCUCGAGUACGGAAGAGGCGAGUGGAAUUCCUGGUGUAGCGGUGAAAUGCGCAGAUAUCAGGAGGAACACCAAUUGCGAAGGCAGCUCGCUGGGACGUAACUGACGCUGAGACGCGAAAGCGUGGGGAGCAAACGGG